rnacentral:lncRNA from 1 species
UUCUACAUAGGCAAUUUGUAGCCUAAUGCAGCUUUUUCCAUGGAGCAUUUCACAAUGCUUAACGGUUUUACCUUCAUCAUGUUCCGUUUACCAAAUUUCUUUUUCGCCUUCGCUCCAACUUGUUUUAAUUAAUGUCCAUUAUGCCUUAUAUCAUGUUUGACACUUUUAGUUUGACCCCUCUAUCUGAGUUGCUAAUAAUGAGAUACUGAGAGUUGAACUCUGUGUUAACCUAACUGACUAACUCUUGGAUAUCACUGGCAUUGUACAACCCUUCUGUGUUAACCUAACUGACUAACUCUUGGAUAUCACUGGCAUUGUACAACCCUUCUUCACAUCUCUUUAACACUCAUUCUUUGUCUUAAGUUUCAACCGUUCUAAAAAUCAUCCAACCCAAUGAGCUCCAACACAUCUUUAUGUUAUCAAUGAGAGAUGAAAAUUUCACUCAAGAAUUGAAUGCCACGUUCUUGAGUUAAAUUGAAUCUGCAUGUCAUCUACCUAUGUCGUGGGUGUGAGUUAUACAACCCUUCUUGUUGCUGGAUAUCUCGUUUGCACACAUCUUCUCUUUGUUUCCCGUGCCUAUAAUGAGUUACAGAUAGAGUUCGAAAAGGUUAAAUCUUUGAUGAUUCCAUCAAUAAUAAGUUAAAAAAUUAUUAGCAGGCAGUCACAACAAAUAAAGUCAACUUUUGUUAUUAUGAAAGCAUUCUUUGUCAUGCCUAGAGCUAAUGACUAUGAUGGAGUUUGGUUUAACCUCAUGGCCUAAAGUUCAAAUAUUGAAUAAUAUAGAUACCUUUGCAAUAUAGAUUAAAUCUAUAAUAUUUCUGUAGCUAGGCCGUGUUUGUAAAUCAUAAUGUAUCUGAUGUAUGGUUUUGGGAAUCGAAAUUUGUCUUGCCUAAAUUUCAGACUAAUAUAGUACAUAACCUUACCUUGUUGCUAUUAAUUUGAACUACUAAAUGAUUUAUAUUCUAGAGAUGGUUUAAAUGAGUUGGUUUGUCAUUGCUUGUUGCCUCUGAUUUUAU